rnacentral:rRNA from 2 species
ACCUGGGCGUGCUAAAUAGGGGCUACUACCAUUUUGGUAGUACGUUUUCCCCUUCUUAGACGGACUGUGGGCGUCUAGUCCACGGAAGCUCCAGGCAAUAACAGGUCUGAGAUGCCCUUAGAUGUUCUGGGCCGCACGCGUGCUACACUGAGUGGAUCAGCGGGUCAGGUUGCAUGAAAGUGUUUCCUAAUCUUUAAAUCCGCUCGUGAUGGGGAUUGAUGGUUGCAAUUUUCUGUCAUGAACGAGGAAUACCUUGUAAGCGCGGGUCAUCAUCCCGCGCUGAAUACGUCCCUGCCCUUUGUACACACCGCCCGUCGCUCCUACCGAUUGAGUGAUCCGGUGAGGCUUUGGGAUUGUGAUGGAAAGAGCGAUUCGCUCGUUCCGUCGUGAGAACUCAGUCGAACCUUAUCAUUUAGAGGAA